GUGCCAGCCGCCGCGGUAAUACAGAGGGUGCGAGCGUUGUCCGGAAUCACUGGGCGUAAAGGUCGCCUAGGCGGCCUGAUAAGUAGGGGGUGAAAUCCUGCAGCUUAACUGCAGGGCUGCCUCCUAAACUGUUGGGCUAGAGCACGGUAGAGGCAGAUGGAAUUCCCGGUGUAGCGGUGGAAUGCGUAGAGAUCGGGAAGAACAUCAGUGGCGAAGGCGGUCUGCUGGGCCGUUGCUGACGCUGAGGCGCGACAGCGUGGGGAGCAAACAGGAUUAGAAACCCUGGUAGUCC
rnacentral:rRNA from 1 species